AGCGAACGCUGGCGGCGUGCCUAAUACAUGCAAGUCGAACGAAGUGGCGCACGGGUGAGUAAUAUAUAGUUAAUCUGCCCUACACAGAGGAACAACAGUUGGAAACGACUGCUAAUACCUCAUAGUGUAGGAUGAGACUAUAUCGUAUCAGCUAGUUGGGAAGGUAAUGGCUUACCAAGGCUAUGACGCGUAACUGGUCUGAGAGGAUGAUCAGUCACGUUGGAACUGAGACACGGUCCAAACUCCUCCGGGAGGCAGCAGUGAGGAAUAUUGCGCAAUGGGGGAAACCCUGACGCAGCAACGACGCGUGGGGGAUGACACUUUACAGAGAGUAAACUCGUUGUAGCAGGAAAGCGGUACCUGAUGAGUAAGCGCCGGCUAACUCCGUGCCAGCAGCCGCGGUAAUAC
rnacentral:rRNA from 1 species